rnacentral:rRNA from 1 species
GGGUUCGCUGCUAUACAUGCAUGUCGCGCGGAUGACGAGAGCUUGCUCUCCGCUUUUAACAGGCGGACGGGUGAGUAACACGUGGGCAACCUGCCCUACAGAUGGCGAUAACUCCGGGAAACCGGGGCUAAUACCGAAUAAUCAGUUUGUCCGCAUGGACAAACUCUGAAAGACGGUUUCGGCUGUCACUGUAGGAUGGGCCCGCGGCGCAUUAGCUAGUUGGUGGGGUAAUGGCCUACCAAGGCAACGAUGCGUAGCCGACCUGAGAGGGGUUCGGCCACACUGGGACUGAGACACGGCCCAGACUAAUACGGGAGGCAGCAGUAGGGAAUCUUCCACAAUGGACGAAAGUCUGAUGGAGCAAUGCCGCGUGAGCGAAGAAGGUUUUCGGAUCGUAAAGCUCUGUUGUAAGGGAAGAACACGUACGGGAGUAACUGCCCGUGCCAUGACGGUACCUUAUUAGAAAGCCACGGCUAACUACGUGCCAGCAGCCGCGGUAAUACGUAGGUGGCAAGCGUUGUCCGGAAUUAUUGGGCGUAAAGCGCGCGCAGGCGGUUCUUUAAGUCUGAUGUGAAAGCCCACGGCUCAACCGUGGAGGGUCAUUGGAAACUGGAGAACUUGAGUACAGAAGAGGAAAGCGGAAUUCCACGUGUAGCGGUGAAAUGCGUAGAGAUGUGGAGGAACACCAGUGGCGAAAGCGGCUUUCUGGUCUGUAACUGACGCUGAGGCGCGAAAGCGUGGGGAGCAAACAGGAUUAGAUACCCUGGUAGUCCACGCCGUAAACGAUGAGUGCUAAGUGUUAGGGGUUUCCGCCCCUUAGUGCUGCAGCUAACGCAUUAAGCACUCCGCCUGGGGAGUACGGCCGCAAGGCUGAAACUCAAAGGAAUUGACGGGGACCCGCACAAGCGGUGGAGCAUGGUGGUUUAAUUCGAAGCAACGCGAAGACUUACAGGUCUGACAUCCCACUGACGGUGUAGAGAUACGCUUUCCCUCGGGGACAGUGUGACAGUGUGCAUGAUGUCGUCAGCUCGUGUCGUGAGAUGUGGUAGUUCCCGCACCGAGCGCAUCAUUGAAUCUAGUUGCAAGCAAUCAGUGGGCACUCUAGUGACUGCCGUGAUAACGAAGAAGGUGGGAUGACGUCAAUCCAUGCCUAGACUGGCUACACUGUCUCAAUGUAUGGAUACAGAGGUUGGCACAGAGGGUUGCCAACCCGCGAGGGGGAGCCAAUCCCAUAAAAUCAUUCCCAGUUCGGAUUGGAGGGUGCAACUCGCCUCCAUGAAGCCGGAAUCGCUAGUAAUCGUGGAUCAGCAUGCCACGGUGAAUACGUUCCCGGGUUUUGUACACACCGCCCGUCACACCACGAGAGUUUGUAACACCCGAAGUCGGUGGGGUAACCCUUACGGGAGCCAGCCGCCGAAGGGGGACGAGGGG